CUCCCUCUGCGCCUUGGGAACGGGAAAAACUACCCAUGAUAUCCCGGUAACUCUUUUCUGUGGCUUUGGGAAAUGGACGUAAUAGAAGCCAGAGAUUUUUGAGAAGUUCCUGGGCUUUUCAUUGGACAGUUUUGUGAGCCCAGUGAUAGUUUGACACUCCCUCUGCGCCUUGGGAACGGGGAAAAACACCCAUGAUAUCCCGGUUACUCUUCUCUGCGGCCUUGGGAAAUGGACGUAAUAAAAUCCUGAGGUGUUUUUGAAUAUGGAGCAGUGUUGUGGGUGUGUCCCGGGCUGCCUCUGAUGUGGCUUGCAAGUGUUCGCUGGAGUCUUGUAAAGGUUCUUGUGGAUACGUAACAAUGUUCUGUCUGCAUAAUGUAACACUGACGGAUGGAAAUAUUAGCUUUGGUGCAGACGUAACACACACACACACACACACACACACACACACACACACACACCCUUAUAUAAACUUAGAAAUAUAUUAACUUUCAUGCAGACCGUUCACACACACACACACACACAAACAGUUACGUACACACACACACACACACACACACACACACACACACACACAUAAACAGUUACGUACACACACACACACGCACGCACACAGACACUCACAGAAACACGCUUGAGACAUGUUUUCUCACCUCCUAACUGUGGUAUAGCGAUAAGGCCGUUUCUGUACAUAGGGACAUGCUGAGGGGUAGCCAGCCGAUGACCACUUGUUGAUAAGUUCGCCCUAAGAGUUUUAUAUCUGUAAGGAGCUUUGCAGAUUAAUCAUGAAUUUGUAGUUUUAUUCGAAUAAACGGCAAUUAUGCUCA